rnacentral:tRNA from 1 species
GGCCAGGUGCCCGAGGAGUUAGGGAACGGUCUGCAAAACCGUCUACAUGGGUGCAAAUCCCAUCCUGGCCUCCA